CUCCUGUUUCUAAUCAUUGUGACAACAGCCUUAUUUGCAUAAAUCCUCUUCCAGCGAAUAGAAUGGGCAGUUUUGGCAGGCUUAGACAAAAGACUGUCCUAAAUAUGAGGUUUUCACAUUGGUUUGUCCCAUUAUUCAGCUAACUAAAGACCCUGAUGACAGCCCUCCAGAGUAUGUACAAGAUUCUACUGCGUGACUGGGAACACAGAGGGAGAAAGGGAGAUGAACUAACAGUAAAGAAGGCGCGUUUGGUGAGAAAAAAGAAGACUAGGAGUAGAAGGAAGAAAAGAGGGGCUUCCCUUCCCCCAAAGAGUGGGCCAAUCCUUUUCGGUGAUCCAGAAAGAAGAAAAGAAAGCAGUCAAGGUGAAAGAAUGUCACAAUGGCUAGUAACCCGGGCAACUCACCGAAGCCACUAUAACGACCUCCGUCAUAACUCGGCCAAGGAUUUCCUCCAUGGAUCAGUGCCAAGAGGGAGGACAAGUGAAGCAAUGUGAACUCGCAAACAUUCCACUUAUAGACGCUGGUUACAACAACGCUAAUAGAAGAAAUAAUAGGCAGGCACCACCACCAAGAAGUUCUUGCAAAUAAAACUCAACGCAUCCCUUUUAGAUCGGUACAUUCCAACAUAUGUCAUUUCAAAUUGCCAUGGAAAUUUGAAGAAGAAAGACCAGCGUGCUACGAGAAAGAGAAACAGUGGGGAUCUAAUUUUGAUGGGGAGAGUAAAGGAAGCGGCGCUCUGAAGAAUGAAACUUGAACUGGGAGCUGACAGAUAAGGGGCAAGCAGAUCCUCUUUCCACCUUUUCCUUCCAUCGUCAUAAUGGAAGUCCAUUGGAUGACGUAAUGCAGAUAACACAGCUGCUCAUCCGCAAGGUGAAGGAAACUAAGGAUCAGAGUGGGCCAGCAGUGGAAUUACUGGAUCAAAGAUAUAAACAUCUUCAUAAAGCUCUUCAUACACUUUGUCAAACUGUAUCCCCAAAAGACUGGGCCCACUGAUGCUCCCCCCAGCAGGGGAUGAAAUCCCCAUUAUGGUAAGCUCGCACCAGCAUUGUGUUUUAACAACUAAAAUCCCUGUUAAGUGAUAUGACUAUCAAAUGUUGGCUAUAAAAUAUACAAGAUAUAUCGUCUCUUCCCCA
ensembl:lncRNA